rnacentral:rRNA from 1 species
GGCGUGCUUAACACAUGCAAGUCGAACGAUGAAGCCUUUCGGGGUGGAUUAGUGGCGAACGGGUGAGUAACACGUGGGCAAUCUGCCCUUCACUCUGGGACAAGCCCUGGAAACGGGGUCUAAUACCGGAUAACACUCCUGCAGGCAUCUGUGGGGGUUAAAAGCUCCGGCGGUGAAGGAUGAGCCCGCGGCCUAUCAGCUUGUUGGUGAGGUAGUGGCUCACCAAGGCGACGACGGGUAGCCGGCCUGAGAGGGCGACCGGCCACACUGGGACUGAGACACGGCCCAGACUCCUACGGGAGGCAGCAGUGGGGAAUAUUGCACAAUGGGCGAAAGCCUGAUGCAGCGACGCCGCGUGAGGGAUGACGGCCUUCGGGUUGUAAACCUCUUUCAGCAGGGAAGAAGCGAAAGUGACGGUACCUGCAGAAGAAGCGCCGGCUAACUACGUGCCAGCAGCCGCGGUAAUACGUAGGGCGCAAGCGUUGUCCGGAAUUAUUGGGCGUAAAGAGCUCGUAGGCGGUCUGUCGCGUCGGAUGUGAAAGCCCGGGGCUUAACCCCGGGUCUGCAUUCGAUACGGGCAGACUAGAGUGUGGUAGGGGAGAUCGGAAUUCCUGGUGUAGCGGUGAAAUGCGCAGAUAUCAGGAGGAACACCGGUGGCGAAGGCGGAUCUCUGGGCCAUUACUGACGCUGAGGAGCGAAAGCGUGGGGAGCGAACAGGAUUAGAUACCCUGGUAGUCCACGCCGUAAACGGUGGGAACUAGGUGUUGGCGACAUUCCACGUCGUCGGUGCCGCAGCUAACGCAUUAAGUUCCCCGCCUGGGG